CCGUGCUUACCGAGGACAGCUUUGUUUUGCACCUACCAUCAAUUUAAAACUAAACUUGCUUUCUGUGUCAUAAGGAUAAACUUGUGCUGUAUGUCUUUAUCUUCUCAAACAUAGCUACAUUAAAUAAAUCUUCCUUCCUUGCUUUAUAGUCUCAAUUAUGCCUUUAAUUGCCAUAUUGAAGCCAGGUGGUCAUGCCUGAUCCAGUAGAGCUAUGGGAGGUCCAAUUUUGACCCCAACAUUUCCAGAGCUAUUAACUUUGGUUAAGAUAAGAGAAGAAGCAUUUGUUGGACAGUGUUUACGUUGCAAAGGAGUCCAAAUCUCUAAGCUUUAUAAAUACUCAUUUAGUAUUGGUGACAUUAAACAAACGGUUCUCUCUUCUCCCCCAGUAUUUCCAUGCUUUGAAUAUCAGUAGGAAGUGCUUGGUUCAAAUGCAGAAUGCAAGGUCAUCUUCCCCUUAUCACGAAUCACAAAUACCACCUACUGUGCUCAGUUUGAAGAUUAGAGCAACCUUAAAUAUCUUGCUCCCGCCAAUGCUCCUCCCUGCCAGCUUACAUUCAAGAGAGAACCAAGAAAGAAAGAAGAACCACCAGAACUGGCCACUGGGCACACAAGAGUCUCCAAGCAAUUACUAAAGAAUGGACAAAUUUCAGUUCCCAGAAGACCAGGAGCCAUGUGUGUUCUCUCUUCAUGGGUAGUUCAGAUAAACAAAUGUAAUGGUUCCAGAGCAAGGAUUUCACAAUGCUAACAACCGUGGACAUCAAAAAAGAACAGCAUUUAUGGUCGGCGACGUCUGGAACGGGAGUGUUAGCUCUUCCACAUCAUUUCCAGGUGGGCACGCUGUGCUCCAACGCACAAUCUCCCCCCAUUGCAUUCCCACUGGGUGUGCUGUGUUCCACUCAGGACCCGACUUUUAUUUAAAAAAAUAAAUAAAUAAAAAAGACCGUCUGCUUGAA